rnacentral:rRNA from 1 species
UGCUUAAAAAAUAACUUUAAGUAAAAUCUGCUCCAUGUAUAAUAAAUAGCCGCAGUUCCCCUGUGCUAAGGUAGCAUAAUCAUUAACCUUCUAAUUAAAGGCUAGAAUGAACGAUUUUACAUUUUUAUUAUUUUUUUUUUUACAAAAAUUAAAAUUAAAUUAAAUAUAAAAAUGUAUUUAUAUAAAAAAAAGACGACAAGACCCUAUUGAACUUUACUUAAGUUAAGCUGGGGAAGCUAGUUAAAAAUAAUUUUAACUGAUAUGAUAAUAAAAAAUUCCAAUAAAAUUGAAUUCAACAAGUUACCAUAGGGAUAACAGCGUAAUAUUUUUUAAAAGCUCUUAUUUAAAAAAAAGAUUGCGACCUCGAUGUUGAAUAAUUAUACUAUAAAACGCAACUGUAUUAAAAGUAGGUCUGUUCGACCUUUAAAUAUUUACA